GAUGAACGCUGGCGGCGCGCCUAACACAUGCAAGUCGAACGGUUAAAGCACCUUUUAGGUGUGUAUAAAGUGGCGAACGGCUGAGUAACACGUGGGCAACCUGCCCUCCUCUUGGGGAUAGCCUCGGGAAACCGAGGAUAAUACCCGAUACUUCAAUGUGGCCGCAUGACGACAUUGAGAAAGCUUUUGCGGAGAAGGAUGGGCCCGCGGCCUGUUAGCUUGUUGGUGGGGUAGAGGCCUACCAAGGCAAUGAUGGGUAGCUGGGUUGAGAGACCGACCAGCCAGAUUGGGACUGGGACACGGCCCAGACUCCUACGGGAGGCAGCAGUGGGGAAUCUUGCACAAUGGGCGAAAGCCUGAUGCAGCGACGCCGCGUGCGGGACGAAGGCCUUCGGGUUGUAAACCGCUUUCAGCAGGGACGAGGCGAUAAGUGACGGUACCUGCAGAAGAAGCCCCGGCUAACUACGUG
rnacentral:rRNA from 1 species